rnacentral:rRNA from 1 species
GAGUUUGAUCCUGGCUCAGAUUGAACGCUGGCGGCAGGCUUAACACAUGCAAGUCGAGCGGGGGAAGGUAGCUUGCUACUGGACCUAGCGGCGGACGGGUGAGUAAUGCUUAGGAAUCUGCCUAUUAGUGGGGGACAACAUCUCGAAAGGGAUGCUAAUACCGCAUACGUCCUACGGGAGAAAGCAGGGGAUCUUCGGACCUUGCGCUAAUAGAUGAGCCUAAGUCGGAUUAGCUAGUUGGUGGGGUAAAGGCCUACCAAGGCGACGAUCUGUAGCGGGUCUGAGAGGAUGAUCCGCCACACUGGGACUGAGACACGGCCCAGACCCCUACGGGAGGCAGCAGUGGGGAAUAUUGGACAAUGGGGGGAACCCUGAUCCAGCCAUGCCGCGUGUGUGAAGAAGGCCUUAUGGUUGUAAAGCACUUUAAGCGAGGAGGAGGCUACUUUAGUUAAUACCUAGAGAUAGUGGACGUUACUCGCAGAAUAAGCACCGGCUAACUCUGUGCCAGCAGCCGCGGUAAUACAGAGGGUGCGAGCGUUAAUCGGAUUUACUGGGCGUAAAGCGUGCGUAGGCGGCUUAUUAAGUCGGAUGUGAAAUCCCCGAGCUUAACUUGGGAAUUGCAUUCGAUACUGGUGAGCUAGAGUAUGGGAGAGGAUGGUAGAAUUCCAGGUGUAGCGGUGAAAUGCGUAGAGAUCUGGAGGAAUACCGAUGGCGAAGGCAGCCAUCUGGCCUAAUACUGACGCUGAGGUACGAAAGCAUGGGGAGCAAACAGGAUUAGAUACCCUGGUAGUCCAUGCCGUAAACGAUGUCUACUAGCCGUUGGGGCCUUUGAGGCUUUAGUGGCGCAGCUAACGCGAUAAGUAGACCGCCUGGGGAGUACGGUCGCAAGACUAAAACUCAAAUGAAUUGACGGGGGCCCGCACAAGCGGUGGAGCAUGUGGUUUAAUUCGAUGCAACGCGAAGAACCUUACCUGGCCUUGACAUACUAGAAACUUUCCAGAGAUGGAUUGGUGCCUUCGGGAAUCUAGAUACAGGUGCUGCAUGGCUGUCGUCAGCUCGUGUCGUGAGAUGUUGGGUUAAGUCCCGCAACGAGCGCAACCCUUUUCCUUACUUGCCAGCAUUUCGGAUGGGAACUUUAAGGAUACUGCCAGUGACAAACUGGAGGAAGGCGGGGACGACGUCAAGUCAUCAUGGCCCUUACGGCCAGGGCUACACACGUGCUACAAUGGUCGGUACAAAGGGUUGCUACACAGCGAUGUGAUGCUAAUCUCAAAAAGCCGAUCGUAGUCCGGAUUGGAGUCUGCAACUCGACUCCAUGAAGUCGGAAUCGCUAGUAAUCGCGGAUCAGAAUGCCGCGGUGAAUACGUUCCCGGGCCUUGUACACACCGCCCGUCACACCAUGGGAGUUUGUUGCACCAGAAGUAGCUAGCCUAACUGCAAAGAGGGCGGUUACCACGGUGUGGCCGAUGACUGGGGUGA